rnacentral:rRNA from 1 species
UACGUAGGGGGCUAGCGUUGUCCGGAAUUAUUGGGCGUAAAGAGCGUGUAGGCGGUCCGGUAAGUCCGCUGUGAAAGUCCAGGGCUCAACCCUGGAAUGCCGGUGGAUACUGCCGGGCUAGAGUCCGGAAGAGGCGAGUGGAAUUCCUGGUGUAGCGGUGAAAUGCGCAGAUAUCAGGAGGAACACCGAUGGCGAAGGCAGCUCGCUGGGACGGUACUGACGCUGAGACGCGAAAGCGUGGGGAGCAAACAGG